GUGAUGCAAAUGAUGACUGCAUAGUUCAGCAGAAUUUCCAUGUAGAACACAGAGCAAUGUCUUUCGCUCCUAGCUGAUGCAUCAC
ensembl:snoRNA